CAGAGCAUAGCUUAAAAUAAAGUACUUCGCUUACACCGAAUUGACAUCCGUUAACCCGGAUUGCCCUGAG
rnacentral:tRNA from 1 species